CAGAUGCCAAGUGGAAAUUGGCUGAUCACCCAAAAGGAAAUUAAAGCCAGUUGCUGUGGUGGUUUUGGAUGGAUGGGGUGAGGCCAACGCUGAUCAAUACAACUGUAUCCACACUGCUGAAACUCCAACCAUGGAUUCCCUCAAAAUGGGUGCACCUGAAAGGUGGAGAUUGGUGAGGGCUCAUGGUACUGCUGUGGGACUUCCUACAGAGAAUGACAUGGGCAACAGUGAAAUCGAUCACUUUGUUUAAAAUUAGAUAAAAUUGUGUAAAAUUUAGUAUGGUUGAACAAUAUACUGAGGAUUAUAGUUGAUAAUACACUUUGUUUAUGUUUUGAAUUAUAUUGACUUGCUUGUUUAUAA